AACGCUGGCGGCGUGCCUAACACAUGCAAGUCGAACGGAGCUUUACGCUGAAAUGAGAGCAGCUUGCUGCAGGAUAUUCUUGUAAAGCUUAGUGGCGACGGGGUGAGUAACGCGUGAGGAACCUGCCUUACAGAGGGGGACAACAGUUGGAAACGACUGCUAAUACCGCAUAAUAUAUUGGAAGGACAUCCUUUUAAUAUCAAAGGAGCAAAUCCGCUGUAAGAUGGCCUCGCGUCCGAUUAGAUAGUUGGCGGGGUAACGGCCCACCAAGUCUGCGAUCGGUAGCCGGACUGAGAGGUUGAACGGCCACAUUGGGACUGAGACACGGCCCAGACUCCUACGGGAGGCAGCAGUGGGGGAUAUUGCACAAUGGAGGGAAAAACCUCUGAUGCAGCAACGCCGCGUGAGGGAAGAAGGUUUUCGGAUUGUAAACCUCUGUUUUCGGUGACGAAACAAAUGACGGUAGCCGAAGAGGAAGCCACGGCUAACUACGUGCCAGCCGCCGC
rnacentral:rRNA from 1 species